rnacentral:lncRNA from 10 species
AAGAACUUUGUAGCUCAAAGGUCUCUGCACUACAUCCACCAAGCAUUCAUGGAAAACCUGGGACGUAAAUAGGGAACUGUGCUUGGGAAGUACAGAGAUAAAACAAUUCUGGCCCCACCUCGCAAGGAGCUUACAGCCUUAAAAAGAAUGAUCAUAGAAACUGUUAGGUACAAAUGGAAACUUCUUGCUAAAUACAAGAACUACUAAAAUGUUACAUGACCCAAGAGAAUGGGCCAAUGCUGAAGCCCAUGUCAGCUAAGGCUGAGGUGAGGAAGUGGUCUUUUUGCCAAGCCUUGAAGGACAGAUCCCAUGCGAGGCCCAAGAAAACUAGAAGUAGUGGAGGUCAAAUCUCGGCAAAUCACUAUCCGCUGGGAGCCAUUUGGAUAUAAUGUAACUCGUUGCCACAGUUAUAAUCUCACUGUCCACUACUGUUACCAAGUUGGAGGACAAGAACAAGUGCGAGAAGAAGUAAGCUGGGAUACAGAAAACUCACACCCUCAACACACGAUCACUAACCUGUCACCAUACACCAAUGUCAGUGUGAAACUGAUCCUCAUGAACCCAGAGGGCCGGAAGGA